rnacentral:rRNA from 1 species
AGAGUUUGAUCAUGGCUCAGGAUGAACGCUAGCGGCAGGCUUAACACAUGCAAGUCGAGGGGUAUGGUUCUUCGGAACCAGAGACCGGCGCACGGGUGCGUAACGCGUAUGCAAUCUACCUUUUACAGAGGGAUAGCCCAGAGAAAUUUGGAUUAAUACCUCAUAGUAUAAUGACUCGGCAUCGAGAUAUUAUUAAAGUCACAACGGUAAAAGAUGAGCAUGCGUCCCAUUAGCUAGUUGGUAAGGUAACGGCUUACCAAGGCUACGAUGGGUAGGGGUCCUGAGAGGGAGAUCCCCCACACUGGUACUGAGACACGGACCAGACUCCUACGGGAGGCAGCAGUGAGGAAUAUUGGACAAUGGGCGCAAGCCUGAUCCAGCCAUGCCGCGUGCAGGAUGACGGUCCUAUGGAUUGUAAACUGCUUUUAUACGAGAAGAAACACUCCGACGUGUCGGAGCUUGACGGUAUCGUAAGAAUAAGGAUCGGCUAACUCCGUGCCAGCAGCCGCGGUAAUACGGAGGAUCCAAGCGUUAUCCGGAAUCAUUGGGUUUAAAGGGUCCGUAGGCGGUUUAAUAAGUCAGUGGUGAAAGCCCAUCGCUCAACGGUGGAACGGCCAUUGAUACUGUUAAACUUGAAUUAUUAGGAAGUAACUAGAAUAUGUAGUGUAGCGGUGAAAUGCUUAGAGAUUACAUGGAAUACCAAUUGCGAAGGCAGGUUACUACUAAUGGAUUGACGCUGAUGGACGAAAGCGUGGGUAGCGAACAGGAUUAGAUACCCUAGUAGUCC